UAAGGAAUAUUGCGCAAUGGGCGAAAGCCUGAUCCAGCAACGCCGCGUGAGUGAUGAAGGCCUUCGGGUUGUAAAGCUCUGUCGGUUAGAACGAAUAAGGGACACCUAACACGUGUCCCGACGACGGUACUAGCAAAGGAAGCACCGGCUAACUCUGUGCCAGCAGCCGCGGUAAGACAGAGGCCACGAACGUUGUUCGGAAUCACUGGGCAUAAAGCGCACGUAGGCGGCUAGGUCCGUCCAAUGUGAAAGCCCCCGGCUCAACCGGGGAAUUGCAUCGGAUACAGCCUGGCUUGAGGACGGUUGGGGUGAGUGGAACUCCUGGUGGAGCGGUGAAAUGCGUAGAUAUCAGGAGGAACACCGGUGGCGAAAGCGGCUCACUGGACCGUAACUGACGCUGAGGUGCGAAAGCUAGGGGAGCAAACGGGAUUAGAUACCCCCGUAGUCCCUGAGCGGGCUGGCAAGGCG
rnacentral:rRNA from 1 species